rnacentral:snRNA from 1 species
AUCUUUUGCCUUUUACUACAGGUACAGAUUAUAAAUCUUUCGCCUUUCACUAAAGAUUUCCGUGGAGGGAAGCAAUUGAUGAGACUCAUUUUUUGUGCUUUCGGCAUUUGUCUCUGACGC